UAAUAGGAAGUAAAAUUUUACACUUAGUUUCGACCUAAAUUAUGGAUACUAAAUCCCCUAUUAU
rnacentral:tRNA from 1 species